rnacentral:piRNA from 1 species
UGAAACGAAACCAUAGUGUCUGAGUGCUAAC